rnacentral:lncRNA from 1 species
CAGACAGCACCUUUUAGAGCAAGACUUCCUCAUUGACCCCAAGCAGGCUGUCCUCCAAGGUGGAGUGGAGAAGAGCUAGAGAGGUCCCGGACCUUGGCCUUAAAUUUCUGAUGCCUCUAUCAUUUCAUAGCACAAAACCCCUCUAGGAGAGAAUGGUCUAUUCACAAGGAAUUUUAAUAAUAAGUAGAAUAAGAAAAACAAUACAGAAAUGACUCACGGCAUAAAAAGAACAUUAAUAAAGGAGCUGUGGCUAACCAUAGAACUGAGAGCUCUUCUGGGCUCAUAACCCCAGCAUCCAAAGUUGUCUUUCUUACCAGCGUUGGGUUUGUGAGGUGGUAGGUUGGAUUAAUAAUCCAGUUUAGCCUGGCGCAGCCAUCCAACAUAAUCCUUUACAGGCCCUGAUGGGGUUUUGUGUUUUGUUUUGUAUGCAGGAUAUUCUCAGAGGUUCUGGCUGUGACACACCCCUGGGUUCUGGAAUUUGUAGGAUUCCUCUGGUUCAUCUGGCUGAUGGCCAAGUGGAUAUUCACCAAGGUGCCAGCUUUGUGACAGACUCUGUUCCAGGUGCUCAGGAUAUGGAGCUCAGUGAACCACACCUGAAGCGUAGGUGAGUGGAGAAGACAGUCACUAAAAAGCAGGCUGCAGAGGCCAUAGCCAUGUACUGGCAUGGCAGGCUGCCAUAUGCCAUGACUGGACUGGGCCUCCCUCCCCUCGUUGCUGGGGUAUCUGAAUUCUAAGGUGACCUAAUGUAUAAAAACACUCUAUAUAAAGUGACUGAAGGGUCUUCUGCUUUACCAGGUACUUCCCUUAGGAUUAGUUUAAUGAG